GUACUCGCUUUGGAGGUACAUAUACUAAAAUUGGAACGAUACAGAGAAGACUAGCAUGGCCCCUGCGCAAGAAUGAAAAAACAAAAACAAAAAAAAUUAAAAAAGCCGUU